rnacentral:lncRNA from 1 species
AGCAUUCCCCGAGGUGGGGUUUGCCGGGUUUGGAUAGAAAGGUGAGGGUGGAUAGGCUGGGUACUGUGUGUAGGGUGGUUAGAAAGGUGGAUAAGGCAUGUAGGUAGGGUAGGGGUGAAAGCUGGAGUAAUCCGAUGUACCUCCCAUCGGAUACCCUGAACCCUGUGGGAAGGGUGGAUAAUGGGGUGGAAAACCAUACCCCGAGGCCUGAACGCCUCCCUGUGACUCCCCUGUCCCUUUUUCCUGCAUGCUCACAUCCAG